GCAGGAAGGGGCUGGGGUGGGGUGAGAGGGGAGAAACAAGACAGAAGGUGGCACCAGAGAAGGAGCCAGCUCCCUAGGGCCUGGAAUCUGCAGUGCUGCCACCACUAGGCAAGAAGAGCAAACCUGGGAGAAACUGACUCUAUAACCAGUGGAAGAAAGGCUGCGUAGCCAUCAUCGGAUCUCUGGGGGAAGAGAGAAGACACAGAGACACAGACCUGCCCCGGAGGAAUCCAGAGCCCACCUGUCCAGAGAGGCUCCACCUAAUUUCCCUGGCUGUGGGCACCCCCUUAAAAGCCCUUUAUGCCAUCACCCAGUGGGUGCCCAGCACUUUUCCAUAAGUGAUCCCAAAUCAGGAGCUAGGCCAAGCCUCCAAAGGCGGCUGCGUAGUUCAUUGGAAUGAGGGCUGCAGUGACUCCAGAGGGCUGCAGUGACUCCAGAGGAGCAGGGCUCAAGAGAAGGGGAGCCAGGGAAGACUGAGGGGAUGUGUAGGUGAGGUGGCUCUUUUCUGGCUGAGAGAAUAGAAGGUCCCCAGCCCACACCAAGAGCUCCAUAAUGGAAGGGAGGCCUAGGGUGGGUCCUCCCCUCUCCCCAUCUUCUUCCCACUCAGCCCCUACCUGGCCUUUAACACACUGGGUGGGAGAAGUGUUGCUGAGCACAGAAGUGACCUGAGGCCCUGGGCACCCAUCCCAGCUUAGCUCCACAGGGGGCUCCAGUUGCUGAGGAAGAACAUAGAACUUAUAUAGGAUGGGAGAGCUGGAAGGAAACUUAGGAUCAAUUGCUCCAGCCUCUAACUGAAUGGCGGGGAAACUCAGAGACAGAGAAAGGAAAUUACUACCCCUUCCAAACCAGUGAGAGAGCCAGAGCUAGAAUCCAGGGCUCUUUCCAUUAUAUUGCACCUCCCAUCUCAGCCCUGUCUUUAUGAAAUGCCAUAUUGAAGCUUUAUGUAUUGGGGAAAUUUAACUGAGGCUCAAAGGGACACAAAUUCCCUAAAGCCACAUGGUGAGUCAGACAGUGAAAUGCAAGGUGUCUGGUCCUUUCCCAGCAUCCAACAAACGUUUCUUGGGCACCUACGACAGUCAGGCUGGGAGCACUUUCAGACAUUCUCUCCCUUAAAUGUCACAUGUGAGAGCAAGGUGGUGGAAGAGCGAAGGGCCAGAGACCAGGGUCCAAAUCCUGGCUCUCUUAUCUGAGUGUCCUUGGACAAAUCCCUUGAUGUCCCUCAAAUGAUGCCUCCAUUUCUUCACUUUAUAAGAAGGGGAUUCAUAAUAGUACCUACCUUGUAGAGUAUUGUGAUAAUUAAAGGAGACUAUCCAUAUGAAAUACUUAGAACAGAGCCUAGUGAUAUAAAUAUACCAUUUUAAAAUAAGUAUACCGGCCGAGUGUGGUGGGUCACACCUGUAAUUCCAGGACUUUGGGAGGCCGAGGUGGGUGGAUCACCUGAUGUCGGGAGUUCGAGACCAGCCUGACCAACAUAGAGAAACCCUGUCUCUACUAAAAAUACAAAAUUAGCUGGGAAUGGUGGCGCAUGCCUGUAAUCCCAGCUACUUGGGAGGCUGAGGCAGGAGAAUCACUUGAACCCAGGAGGCGGAGGUUGUGGUGAGCUGAGAUUGCACCAUUGCACUCCAGCCUGGGCAACAAGAGCGAAACUCCAUCUCAAAAAAAAAAAAAAAGUAUACCAUUUGACAAUCCUAGGCAUAUACCCAACAGAAAUGAAAACAUAUAUCCUUAUGAAAACCCUUCCACAAAUGUUGAUAGCAGCAUUAUUCAGAGUAGCUGAAAAGUGGAAUCGACCAAAUGUCCAUCAACUGAUGAAUGGAGAAAUAAAAUACAGUAUAGCCACACAAUGGAAGGUUAUUUGGCAAUAAAAAGAAAGAAAGUACCAAUACAUGCUUCAAGGUGGCUAAACCUUGAAAGCAUUAUGUGAGUGAAGGAGGCCAGUCACCAAAGACCAUGUAUUAUAUAAUUCCAUCUAAAUAAAAUAUCCAGAAGGUGCAAUUUUAUAGAGACAGAAAGUAGAUGAUUAGUUGGCUAAGGCUGGGAGGAAUGGAAGAAUCGAGGGUGACUGUUAAUACGUAUGGAGUUCCUUUUUAGAGGUGAAAAAAUGUUCUGAAAUUAGAUCAUGGUGAUGGUUGUGCAAUUCUGUGGAUAUAUUAAAAACUAUUGAAUCGUGUCCUUAAAUGGGUGAAUUGUAUAGUAUGUGAAAUAUAGCUCAAUAAAGCUGUUUUCAAAA